UGAAACUGCGAAUGGCUCAUUAUAUCAGUUAUAGUUUAUUAGAAAUACUUUACUACUUGGAUAACCGUAGUAAUUCUAGGGCUAAUACAUGAUAAAUCCUCAACUGGAAAGGUGUGUUUAUUAGUAUAAAACCAUAUAUCUUCUAGUGAGUAAUAAUAACCUUUCGUAUCGUAUGUCGUAUAACGAUAGUUCUUUCAAGUUUCUGCCCUAUCAGCUUUCGAUGGUAGUAUAUGGGACUACCAUGGCAGUAACGGGUAACGAAGAAUUUGGGUUCGAUUUCGGAGAGGGAGCCUGAGAGAUGGCUACCACAUCCAAGGAAGGCAGCAGGCGCGUAAAUUACCCAAUCCUGACAUAGGGAGGUAGUAACAAUAAAUCAAACCCGGAAAAAAUAGUUUGCACCGUUUAAAAUCAAUGUGUGCCGGUUACCUUUGCCCGUUAAAAGGUAGGUUGG
rnacentral:rRNA from 1 species